rnacentral:rRNA from 1 species
CCGUGAAGUGCCUUACACAUGCAGUCGAUUCAAGUUACUUUCGGGUAAUGAGGAUGGCGGACGGGUGAGUAACGCGUAAGGAACUUGCCUCUUGGACUGGGACAACUGUUGGAAACGACAGCUAAUACCGGAUAUUAUGAGAUUCUCGCAUGAGAAACUUAUGAAAGCUAUAUGCGCCAAGAGAGAGCCUUGCGUUCCAUUAGCUAGUUGGUGGGGUAACGGCCCACCAAGGCGACGAUGGAUAGCCGGCCUGAGAGGGUGAACGGCCACAAGGGGACUGAGACACGGCCCUUACUCCUACGGGAGGCAGCAGUGGGGAAUAUUGGACAAUGGGCCACAAGCCUGAUCCAGCAAUUCUGUGUGCACGAUGAAGGUCUUCGGAUUGUAAAGUGCUUUCAGUUGGGAAGAAGAAAGUGACGGUACCAACAGAAGAAGCGACGGCUAAAUACGUGCCAGCAGCCGCGGUAAUACGUAUGUCGCAAGCGUUAUCCGGAUUUAUUGGGCGUAAAGCGCGUCUAGGCGGAAAAAUAAGUCUGAUGUUAAAAUGCGGGGCUCAACUCCGUAUUGCGUUGGAAACUGUUUUUCUAGAGUACUGGAGAGGUGGGCGGAACUACAAGUGUAGAGGUGAAAUUCGUAGAUAUUUGUAGGAAUGCCGAUGGAGAAGUCAGCUCACUGGACAGAUACUGACGCUGAAGCGCGAAAGCGUGGGGAGCAAACAGGAUUAGAUACCCUGGUAGUCCACGCCGUAAACGAUGAUCAUUAGGUGGUGGGGGGUCGAACCUCAGCGCCCAAGCUAACGCGAUAAGUGAUCCGCCUGGGGAGUACGCACGCAAGUGUGAAACUCAAAGGAAUUGACGGGGACCCGCACAAGCGGUGGAGCAUGUGGUUUAAUUCGACGCAACGCGAGAAACCUUACCAGCGUUUGACAUCCUAAGAAGUUUCCAGAGAUGGAUUCGUGCCGGCUUGCCGGAACUUAGUGACAGGUGGUGCAUGGCUGUCGUCAGCUCCUGUCCUGAGAUGUUGGGGUUAAGUCCCGCAACGAGCGCAACCCCUAUUGGAUGUUGCUACCAUUAAGUUGAGCACUCCUGCGAUACUGCCUGCGAUGAGCAGGAGGAAAGGUGGGGGAGGAAAUCCAAUCAUCAUGGCCCCUUAUACCCGGGGGGACACACCUGGUUCAAAGGGGGGUAACAAAAAGUUUCCCACUCCCCCAGAGGGAGCAAACUCCUUAAAACGGUUCUUAAUUUCGAAUUGAACCCCGCACUCCCGUAAG